rnacentral:tRNA from 3 species
GGCGGGCGUGGCCAAGUGGUUAAGGCAGUGGGUUGUGGUUCCACCAUUCGCCGGUUCAAAUCCGGUCGUUCGCC